GGUUUCUCCUUGAGUUAGGGUUGAGAGGAGGCUACGGCGCGCUUAUAAAGAGGCAUGGGUGGAAGCUGUCGCUAUCGAGGGCGGACGUGGCGCACGGGGCUCACCGGCCAGGAGGAAGAAAAGGUGAGGAAGAAGAAAGCCUGUGAGACAAGGCGUACUCUUGGGAAUGCAUCUUCGCUGCGGGAAAACGGAAAACGGGCGCCGCGCGAAGGAAGCUGGGCCGCGACCUGCGCUGCGGGGCCGCGCGGCGGGCGCGCGCGAGGCGGGGCCGAGGCGGCGGCUGGGCCAGCUCGGGCCUGAGGUAAGCAGGUAAGGUUUUUCUUUUAUUUCUUUUUCCUUUUUCAUGUUUUCUCUUUUGCAAAUGCUUUUGGAUUCAAAUUUCAAAUACCAUUUGAAAAGCUGAGAAGUAGGAGAAUUCAAAUAUGUUACUAGUAUUUGGAAAUGUUCAAAUGGGGUUAAAGGUUUGAAACAAAACCCAUUUGAAUGUCAUUUGUAAAAUAUAGGAAAAGGAAUUCAAACCCAAAGAAGGAUGAUUCAUAUUUUGAAUCUUCUAGCAAAUUCAAACAACA
rnacentral:lncRNA from 1 species